UUGUGAUAUAUACUAAUAAACUUUUCUCAUUGCUUAAUCUCAAUGUUGCUUCAUAGACAAACACAUUCCAGAGCAUCCUGGCUACAGAUGGAUCUCGCUCGUUUGCUUUACUCCACUACAGUGAUAUGAACUGGGGUCCAGGACAGAGGGUUCACCACAAUGCUCUGAUAGGCUAUACCGAUGGUGUUAACACCUUCCACAAUGAGAUCCCCACACCACCAGAAAACUUGUUUGGUCCAGGUGGGCGUUAUCGGCCUCAGACUGUUGUGGGUAAUAUAGGCCAGCUGGGACAACUUGUUUAUGACCUGACUGGAGCCACAGUGGUCAGCUCUGACUCCCAAAGACAGUGUCAGCUAUGGGCCCUGAAAGAACCAGACCCCAAGGAGUGGGCACUAGGGCUGGCCCCUUGCCCAUGCACCCGCGCCCAGGCACUGGAGGACCCGGGCUUUGGCCCUGAAACACUCCUGGCAGAGAACGGCAUGCGUGUGAAGGAGCUAAGGGGCUUACGCUGGGGUGGAAGUGAAGGUCAAGUGUUUCAGUCCAUUCUCUUCAACAAACAAAGUGCUGGAAAAAGAUGUGUGUAUGACCCGCAGGGCGCUCUGCUGGCUGGAUACAGCGAACGCUACUUUACCACAGACAAGACACAAGAUCAUAUUGAUAAAGAUCUCUUGCCCUUCCAGUGGUGCUGUGUCCAGUCCCCACUGUGCCAUCUCUACCUGGCUAAGAGGCCACUGGACCGGUGUCAGGGUUUUGGCUGGACCAGGAGAGACCCUAACAUUCCUGGGAACAAGGGUGUACCAGGUAUUGGCUUGGCAUAUGGAAGCCUUCAUUUUAUUACAUUUGAUGGAAGUAACUACACCUUCAAGGGCCUAGGAGUGUUCGUGAUUGUGCGUCUGUCCUCAAGUACAGGCUCCAAUGUCUUCACCCUCCAGGGUCAGAGUGCAGUGCUAGAGACCAAUGGCCAGUCCAGAAGAGUGCCUGCACUGGUGCGCAUAGCUGCACACCACCAGGUCUUCGGCAAGGUUUGAAUAUUAUUUUGUGAUGGCUGUGAUUGGCUUUUUAAGAAAAGAAAUGAACAGUAACUUAAACCU
ensembl:lncRNA